rnacentral:lncRNA from 1 species
GAGAAAGCAAACAUAGAGAUGCAACAAAUUAUAUCAGCCCAAAGUUUUCCUUAUGCCUAACUAAGGUCGACCCAUCUACUUUUCAUGUGGAAGAAGCACUGGAAGCCCUGAGAGAGUGAGGACAAAUGAGGGAAAUGGUCCCAACAAGUACUCAGUGAUGCUGUCAGGUUCAUAAUGUAUAGUCUCAUAAAGGAGCAGCACCUUUUCCUCCAACAAAGAGGAAGAGACAAAGGAAAAAAUAGAAGAAGAUAUGAAAGAGUCACAAUAAGACUUUGAGCUGGAUGAUUAAGAUGUGAGUGUACCUAGCCCACAAUCUCUUUGCUCAUUCGUCAUUGUAAAAGCAAGCCCUCCAGGGACCUAGAGAAGAAUGGGACCACAAAAUGGAAGGAACCUAGGUCCCAUGGAUCACAUGGAAGGUGCCCCACCACAAACAUACAUGUAAAUGGACAAGAGUGUGCAUGAAAAAUAAACUUCUAUUUUAAUCAGCCACUGAGAUUUGGAGUUUUAUCUAUUACAGCAGACAGCAUCAGCUUCACCAAUAUAUGGAGCUAUUGGUGAUCCGUGUUCACUGACUGGGAGAAUCAGUAGAUUUAAAAA